rnacentral:rRNA from 1 species
UACGAAGGGGCUAGCGUUGUUCGGAAUUACUGGGCGUAAAGCGCACGUAGGCGGAUCGAUCAGUCAGGGGUGAAAUCCCAGGGCUCAACCCUGGAACUGCCUUUGAUACUGUCGAUCUGGAGUAUGGAAGAGGUGAGUGGAAUUCCGAGUGUAGAGGUGAAAUUCGUAGAUAUUCGGAAGAACACCAGUGGCGAAGGCGACUUACUGGACACAUAUUGACGCUGAGGUGCGAAAGCGUGGGAGCAAACAGGAU